rnacentral:rRNA from 1 species
AGACAAACUCCGAAUGCCAAUUAAUUUAACUUGGGAGUCAGAACAUGGGUGAUAAGGUCCGUGUUCGAAAGGGAAACAGCCCAGACCACCAGCUAAGGUCCCAAAAUAUAUGUUAAGUGGAAAAGGAUGUGGCGUUGCCCAGACAACUAGGAUGUUGGCUUAGAAGCAGCCAUCAUUUAAAGAGUGCGUAAUAGCUCACUAGUCGAGUGACACUGCGCCGAAAAUGUACCGGGGCUAAACAUAUUACCGAAGCUGUGGAUUGUCCUUUGGACAAUGGUAGGAGAGCGUUCUAAGGGCGUUGAAGCAUGAUCGUAAGGACAUGUGGAGCGCUUAGAAGUGAGAAUGCCGGUGUGAGUAGCGAAAGACGGG